GACGAACCGAGCGAACGUUAUUCGGAAUCACUGGGCUUAAAGGGCGCGUAGGCGGGCGGUCAAGUCAGGGGUGAAAGCCUCCAGCUCAACUGGAGAAGUGCCUCUGAUACUGGCCAUCUCGAGGGAGGUAGGGGCGUGCGGAACUUCCGGUGGAGCGGUGAAAUGCGUAGAUAUCGGAAGGAACGUCGGUGGCGAAAGCGGCGCGCUGGACCUCUUCUGACGCUGAGGCGCGAAAGCCAGGGGAGCAAACGGG
rnacentral:rRNA from 1 species